ACGUACACUCCUACGGGAGGCAGCAGUGGGAAAUUUUGGACAAUGGGCGAAAGCCUGAUCCAGCCAUGCCGCGUGCAGGAUGAAGGCCUUCGGGUUGUAAACUGCUUUUGUACGGAACGAAACGGCCUUUUCUAAUAAAGAGGGCUAAUGACGGUACCGUAAGAAUAAGCACCGGCUAACUACGUGCCAGCAGCCGCGGUAAUACGUAGGGUGCAAGCGUUAAUCGGAAUUACUGGGCGUAAAGCGUGCGCAGGCGGUUAUGUAAGACAGUUGUGAAAUCCCCGGGCUCAACCUGGGAACUGCAUCUGUGACUGCAUAGCUAGAGUACGGUAGAGGGGGAUGGAAUUCCGCGUGUAGCAGUGAAAUGCGUAGAUAUGCGGAGGAACACCGAUGGCGAAGGCAAUCCCCUGGACCUGUACUGACGCUCAUGCACGAAAGCGUGGGGAGCAAACAGGAUUAGAUACCCCUGUAGUCCCA
rnacentral:rRNA from 1 species